rnacentral:rRNA from 1 species
CUGUAGUCGUUACGCGGUGUGCCUAGUUUUGCACGUGGAGCGGAUGACGUGGAGCUUGCUCCUCUGAUUUAGCGGCGGACGGGUGAGUAACACGUGGGCAACCUGCCCUGCAGACUGGGAUAACUUCGGGAAACCGGAGCUAAUACCGGAUAAUCCAUUUUACUUCAUGGUGAAAUGUUGAAAGGCGCUUUCGCGCCACUGCAGGAUGGGCCCGCGGUGCAUUAGCUAGUUGGUGGGGUAACGGCCUACCAAGGCGACGAUGCAUAGCCGACCUGAGAGGGUGAUCGGCCACAUUGGGACUGAGACACGGCCCAAACUCCUACGGGAGGCAACAGUAGGGAAUCUUCCACAAUGGACGAAAGUCUGAUGGAGCAACGCCGCGUGAGUGAUGAAGGUUUUCGGAUCGUAAAACUCUGUUGUAAGGGAAGAACAAAGUACGUUAGGAAAUGAACGUACCUUGACGGUACCUUAUUAGAAAGCCACGGCUAACUACGUGCCAGCAGCCGCGGUAAUACGUAGGUGGCAAGCGUUGUCCGGAUUUAUUGGGCGUAAAGCGCGCGCAGGUGGUUUCUUAAGUCUGAUGUGAAAUCUCGCGGCUCAACCGCAGCGGUCAUUGGAAACUGGGGAACUUGAGUGCAAAAAGGAUAGUGAAUUUCCAGUGGUAGCGGUGAAAUGCGAAAAAUUUGGAAGACACCCAGUG